ensembl:lncRNA
CACACACACACACACACACACACACACACACACACACAGACAGUUGUACCAUCCCGGUAGACCUGCUGUUCUAAACACACUCUGAUGUAUGCCUUUUUUUAUCUAUCAAAAACGUCUUAAAGGUGUUUCACUUUGAAGCCGUAAAAGCAGAGGAACGUAUUCGCUGAUGCGGUGUGGACUGAGGAAGGAAUGUGGACAAGAAGGUCCUCUACUGGUACUAAAGAAACAAGUUUUUGCCCGAGUGGAGGGGGGGCAGUUACCAGACUGGUAAUAACUGAACCCAUGAGCCCAGCUCAAGCAACGGCUACCUUUCCACACGCUCUGCAAGAAAGGGUCUGUCUGGCAGAUGUGUUCUCGCCAAACCGGUGAGCCGCCCCCUCAAACGAGGAAGCACUCACUUCCUGGUCCUGCCUGUCUGUCUGUCUGUCUGUCUGUCUGUCUGUCUGUCUGUCUGUCUGUCUGUCUGUCUCUCUCUCUCUCUCUCUCUCUCUCUCUCUCUCUCUCUCUCUCUCUCUCCCCUCUCUUUCACGGUCGGUGUGGAAUGACUGUGGCCUCGACACGCAAAAAAUCCCAAAAGCGUCCACGCCUCCAGCAAAGCAGACUCUCGGUACAGAAGGCUUCUCUGACUAACCUGUUCUUCCGCUGCAUCACCUUGAUGCACCUCAUCAUAAACCACAACAGUCACUGCACUGUGCUGCACCAGCCUUAAUGUUAGAAGAAUCUCAAAAUAGAUUAAACAUGUUCCCUCUCUCUUGGUAGGCCAGUAUUAAGGUGUUGUGCUAGUAGAGGUAGUAGUAGUGGUAGCAGUAGUAGUAGUAGUAGUAGUAGUAGUAGUAGUAGCAACAGUAGUAGUAGUAGUUGUACUGUGAGUCUAUAUCUACUAUUACUAUUUACAUCUUAGCAGACACUUUUAUCCAAAGUGAUUUGCAGUGAAUUUUCUUUCCUUUUUUAUAUAUAUAUAUGAUACUGUGUAUGCAAUUGUUGAUGUUUUUUUUUUUGAAGAAUAUAUUAUAUAUUUUGUUUAAAUAGCUAGCUGUGUGAUGAACAAAAUAAGUACAUUUUAUAUGGUUUAUGGUUUUAUUUGGGAGAAUACGGACCAAUUUAUCCUAUAUAUAUAUAUAUAUAUAUAUAUUCUGUCUAUUUUUUCCAAUAAGGGUACAUUCAUUAACCAGUCGUUAAACAUUCAAAAAUAUUUAACAGUUAUUUUUGCAAAUGUUCUGGAAAACCUUUACUAAUGGGGUUCACGUUACCUAAGGUAAUGGUGUUCACGUAAUCUAAGGAAUUAAUAUACAUUAUUUAGUACAGUUAGGGUUAACCAUAAACCUUACGCUAAUGCUAUAUAAUAAUGCAUAUGCAUAUACUAAUGUCAAUUAAUUAAUUAAUUAAUUAAUGUCCCCUGAUUGGAUGGUGUUACCCAUUAUUUCUAAAACAAGGUAAAACGAAUACAUAUAAAUACUGGAUAAAAUGUGACACUACAACACAAAUAAAUAUGUACAAACAUUCAUAAUAAAUGAAAUGCCAAAUCUGUACAAAACGGAUCGUAAUGACACAAUAAAAUGCAAUUGUAUUCCGCAAAAAACUGACGUCUGGUGGCCAACACAUGCUCACCAUCAUGUUACCACACUGCUAAUUAUACCCUGAUAUAAUGUGUUCGAUCACAAGUGACACAUUGUCAUCACUGAAGACACCAUUAAGCUUAUGACACUUCUCUUCCCACACACCUCACAGACACCUUCCCAAUCCAUACCUAUAUGGCAAUAUGUUGGCUUUUAUCACCACUGAAAGGAGAAACACACUCCCAGCGUGUGGGCAAAUACAUAAGGGUUAACCAUUAGUGGUCCAUUUAAGACCUGCAGACAUCAUGCACACAUGCACACACACACGUACACACACAAUGAUUUGUGGCGGCUCUAAAGAAGACCAGUGCAGCCACUGACAUUCAAUCACUGAUUGAUGGAAUUUAAUUAUUGGAGAAAACACUUUGUUUUCAUUGAUCUGAUUGAUAACACCAAGAUACAAAUGACACACGCAGGUCAUUACCUGUUUUUUACUCUCCUAUUAUCUCCCACCCUUGGUGAAAGAAAAUAUAUAAAUAUAUAUAUAUAUAUAUAUAUAUAUAUAUAUAGAGAGAGAGAGAGAGAGAGAGAGAGAGAGAGAGAGAGAGAG